rnacentral:rRNA from 1 species
CUUACACAUGCAAGUCGAACGGCAGCACGGGGGCAACCCUGGUGGCGAGUGGCGAACGGGUGAGUAACAUAUCGGAACGUGCCCUGGAGUGGGGGAUAACUAGUCGAAAGAUUAGCUAAUACCGCAUACGAUCUACGGAUGAAAGUGGGGGAUCGCAAGACCUCAUGCUCGUGGAGCGGCCGAUAUCUGAUUAGCUAGUUGGUGGGGUAAAGGCCUACCAAGGCAUCGAUCAGUAGCUGGUCUGAGAGGACGACCAGCCACACUGGGACUGAGACACGGCCCAGACUCCUACGGGAGGCAGCAGUGGGGAAUUUUGGACAAUGGGCGCAAGCCUGAUCCAGCAAUGCCGCGUGAGUGAAGAAGGCCUUCGGGUUGUAAAGCUCUUUUGUCAGGGAAGAAACGGUUCGGGUUAAUACCUUGGGCUAAUGACGGUACCUGAAGAAUAAGCACCGGCUAACUACGUGCCAGCAGCCGCGGUAAUACGUAGGGUGCAAGCGUUAAUCGGAAUUACUGGGCGUAAAGCGUGCGCAGGCGGUUGUGCAAGACAGAUGUGAAAUCCCCGGGCUCAACCUGGGAAUUGCAUUUGUGACUGUACGGCUAGAGUGUGUCAGAGGGGGGUAGAAUUCCACGUGUAGCAGUGAAAUGCGUAGAGAUGUGGAGGAAUACCGAUGGCGAAGGCAGCCCCCUGGGAUAACACUGACGCUCAUGCACGAAAGCG